rnacentral:rRNA from 1 species
UACGGGGGGAGCAAGCGUUGUUCGGAAUCACUGGGCGUAAAGCGCACGUAGGCGGAUUUGUAAGUCAGGGGUGAAAUCCCGGGGCUCAACCUCGGAACUGCCUUUGAUACUGCAAAUCUCGAGUCCGAUAGAGGUGGGUGGAAUUCCUAGUGUAGAGGUGAAAUUCGUAGAUAUUAGGAAGAACACCGGUGGCGAAGGCGGCCCACUGGAUCGGUACUGACGCUGAGGUGCGAAAGCGUGGGGAGCAAACAGG